GAUGAAGAACGUAGCGAAAUACGAUAAUUAAUGUGAAUUGCAGAAUUCCGAGAAUCAUCGAGUCUUUGAACGCACAUUGCGCCUCAUAGCAUUCCGUGAGGCAUGCCCAUCUCAGCGUUAGAAAAUAUUCUCAAAUUUUAGUUUUGUGCUAAAAUUUGGAUCAUGUCAAGGAAGCUAUUACUAUUAUUGUGAUCGCUCUUUGGAAAUUGAUAGGUCUUUGAGUUGCUACUCAUAGAACGUGAUGAAUCUUUCUUCGUUCUAUUGUAGUUCACUCUGGUAGUCCUAAAACUUGUAUGCCUGUGGCAUAUCUUGUAAUUUGACCUGAGAUUGGGUAGGGAUACCCACUGAACUUAAGCAUAUCAAUAAGCGGAGGA
rnacentral:misc_RNA from 1 species